rnacentral:rRNA from 1 species
AUUGAACGCUGGCGGCAUGCCUUACACAUGCAAGUCGAACGGCAGCACGGGAGCAAUCCUGGUGGCGAGUGGCGAACGGGUGAGUAAUAUAUCGGAACGUGCCCAGUAGUGGGGGAUAACUGCUCGAAAGAGCAGCUAAUACCGCAUACGACCUGAGGGUGAAAGGGGGGGAUCGCAAGACCUCUCGAUAUUGGAGCGGCCGAUAUCAGAUUAGCUAGUUGGUGGGGUAAAGGCCUACCAAGGCAACGAUCUGUAGGUGGUCUGAGAGGACGACCAGCCACACUGGAACUGAGACACGGUCCAGACUCCGACGGGAGGCAGCAGUGGGGAAUUUUGGACAAUGGGCGCAAGCCUGAUCCAGCAAUGCCGCGUGCAGGAUGAAGGCCUUCGGGUUGUAAACUGCUUUUGUACGGAACGAAACGGCCCUUUCUAAUACGGGGGGCUAAUGACGGUACCGUAAGAAUAAGCACCGGCUAACUACGUGCCAGCCGCCGCCGUAAAAC